UACGUAGGGUGCGAGCGUUAAUCGGAAUUACUGGGCGUAAAGCGUGCGCAGGCGGUUUUGUAAGCCAGAUGUGAAAGCCCCGGGCUUAACCUGGGAAUGGCCGUCGAAACUGGCGAACUGGAGUGUGGCAGAGGGGGGUGGAAUUCCGCGUGUAGCAGUGAAAUGCGUAGAGAUGCGGAGGAACACCGAUGGCGAAGGCAGCCCCCUGGGCUGACACUGACGCUCAGGCACGAAAGCGUGGGGAGCAAACAGG
rnacentral:rRNA from 1 species